ACCACGUCACCUUUUUUGUGCGUGAACCCGGAAAGGUGACCAAGACUUGUUAACGUCAGUCCUAUUUUUGUCAUCCAUCCAUCCCUCCAGCCACUGCACUCCCUCGUCUCCUGAGAGGAAAGUAGGCUCAUUCGUCAGCACUGCCAUGGCUGUACUUUCUCAUUUGUCUGUCACCGGUUCGCCUCGUGAGCGGCCAGCGGAGGAGGAAGUGUUGGGAGAGACUGGAGAGAAAAGCUUCUGAAAAGAUAGUGCUUGACUAUACAUGGACAAUAAAACUCUGUUAAAACGGCACGCCUGGCUCCUGUGACGUGGUAUCUGUGGAACGGCUGUGGUCCCCAACCACCGGUCCGGGGACCGGCCCCGGUCUGUGACACAUUUGGUACCGGGCCGCACAGAGACAUUAAAUAAUUUAGAACCAAACACAUUUUCUCCUACUUAACUUUGGCCAGUCCCACCAGACCAAUACUACCAAUAAGCUUGUUCACAGAUGUAUAAUGAAACUCCUGAUAGGAAGUCGCCAUUUGCUUUAUUUGGUAAAUUAUUGUGACAUGGGACAAUGCACAUUAAUAAACAUAUAAA